CCCUUGGUCUACAGACUCUCCGAUCUCUGAAGUGCAUCAUAAACUUGGAUAAGCACCGGCUGAUCAUGGGGAAGACAGACAAGGAAGAAAUCCCUUUUGUGGAGACAGUCUCUUUGAAUGAAGACAAGUCCAGAGAGGCAAGUGAAUUGUCUAAGUUCAUAUAUUAGGUCAGUGACUGAAGGGACCAAGAACGCAGACCUGAUUUCCAAGCCAAGACUCCCAUGCUGCCUCAUUUGUAUUCAAGCCUUUAACAGGAGGGCAAAGAGGUGAGAAUGUGUUAAAAAAAAAAAAAAAAAGGCAGAGCAUGGGAGGAAUAUUCUCUGGAGAUGGAUGCUAGGAUGAUUUGGGUAGCUCUCCCUCCUGUGUGCCAAGCCCAGUAAAAGUUCCUUGCCCCAAACUGUCACAUUUAGGCCCUCAUCUUGGUGCCUAAAAACGAGCGUACAAAGAUGAAUGAAAUGGUUUCUCACUGUGAACCUCUUGGAGGAAAGGAGGAACCACAGACAGAGGAAUAUUAAUCCCUCUCUGAUAUGGAAUUGAAGGCUUAAGUAAAUCAGAGUGUCACUGUCA
rnacentral:lncRNA from 10 species